AUGGAGGGGUGGUGGAGGGGCAAAGAAGAGGGGGGUGAUGGAAGGGCAAAGAAGAGGGGAAGGGAGGGCUCUAAUGGAGGGGUGGUGGAGGGGGAGCAUUGGAACAAGCAAGGUGCAAGGAAAGGGGGAGAAAGGAAGGGGGAAGGAAGAAGAAAGGGGAGGAAGGAGGGGAAAGGUGGUAGCCUCCUCCUGUCGCACCGCAUGCGCACAUCGCACGCUACACGGGCUCUGCUCCUCGCUCUUUCCCGGGUCAUGCGCCGCAGAGGGCUCGGCGGCCGCAUAUGCACCCGGUUUCUGCACCUGCGCCUGUGUUGCACCGAUGACGGGUGGGCCAGUGGUGCCUUUGGUCCCGGUGAGCCGAUGCGUGUGCCGGCUUCUGCACCCGCCGAUUGGUGGGACGACACUGCUCCUAGCCCCAUCCCCGCACGUCGGUUGUACGCGUCUCGCCACGGUCAUCAAAUCGUCGGUUUGUCUGGUGUUGGAGAGAACUAUGGGGCUGACUCCUACGACGUGCUCUACCAGACUCCUGCAUUGUGUCGCGUCUUGUCUACGACAGGUCAAAGGUCAACGGCCAAAGGCCGACAAGUGGGGCUGAGAGUGGAGGCGGGGUCCGCCUGGCCAGCUGGCUGGGCGCACGGGGCGCUCGUCCCCUUCCUCCCGCUCGCCUCUGUUUCUCCUGUGAAGCAGACAGGGAGCAAGGAGGGAGAUGGCGAGGGGGCCAGCCAGUACAUGCCAGCUUCAGUCGAGCUGGUGGCACCUGUGGGCGCACCAGGACACGCCGCACCCGUUCAGAUAAAAGAACCUCCGCUGCUCGUGGCUCCAUCGUUCUCCGUCGGCAAGAACACUCACAAUCAUUGCACUUGCAAAACUGUAUUUUCUAGACAUAUCAUGCAGAAAUUCUAUAAAUUUAUCAAUAAUAUCUGCUACAUAGGGGAUUAUUUAUCCAUCGCCCUCAUGGCCUACACCAUCUUGCAGCACCAUGCCUAUUCUGCUCGCUCACAGGCGCUCCUAGACCAGUUCGCAACGGAUCUCCAAAGGACAGGGACCUGGCACUCAAAGCGUCACACCAACCAAAUUGAUGGUAAUUUCUUUUUUGCGGGGAAGUUGAUGUACCACCUCUCCAACCUCGCCUCUCGCUUCGCCGCCCCGUGCCCCGCGCUCGCCGAGGCGCACCCGCCGGGGGCCCAUGGCGUUGCCCAGUCCUCCGUUGGCCUCCUCAACGCUUCUAGUUCGCCAGCUGCGAGCAGAUCGGGCCGCGCACAACAGACAUGGAGGAGGACGCAGCCACGGCUGCGACGCCGGACUCAUGGGAGACGGGGUCAUGAGCCGCCUGCUCCUCUCCUCCUCCACCUCCUCGGCCUCCCCCACUGCGCGCCGGGCCUGCUCCUCGCCCGACCUUGCCGACGACCGCCAGGCUGCGGACGCGCAGCAGGAGCAGGACCCCGCGCGCGGGACGAUCCGACCACGCAGGUCGACCAGUUCCUCCGCGAGGCCCUCAAGAAGCCCCGCGAGCGCCUCCAAGCUGAAUUGGAGUGCUCCCGACAGGCUGUAUUCAAUUGCGAUCUGCAGGCGUUGCUUGUUGUAGGAACAUGGGGCGAGUUCCGCAAGGAGUUCAAGCAGAAGAACCCCAAGAACAAGUGUGUCGCUGCAGUAGGCAAAGCAGCCGGUGGGAGGUGGAAGAGCUUGAGCGAGUUGAUCAUAGUGUACCAGCUUUGCAAGGGCGUUGCUUUUUGCCACGGACGUGGUGUCUGGCACCAUGACCUUGAGCCACACAACCUGCAAAUUGGUGGAUGGGUUGAAGACACAGCGCCGCACCGAAACCCCGAGGCUUCCUCCUCCACCGCCAUUUGGUUCCCCUCCGCUCCCAUCCGCCGCCUCUGCCGAGGUCCGAGGCCUGGCAGGGCGUGGCCGCGUUGUGGGCAGCAAGGAGCGGCGCACGGGCAUGCCCUGCAUCGAGGAGGAGCUCAUGUACUUUCAAAUCGAGGAGGAACACCGCUGUUUUUCUACAUGGUGGCCGCUCCCCUCGAUCCCCUCCAUCGCCUCCGCGGCCGCCGCCGAGGUACGGGAUCGCUGCCAAGCCGAGGUACGGCAUCGACUCCAUCGCAUUCCUUCCCUGGUCACGCACCUCCCAAUUUCUUCCCUUACCCAGCUAGGGUUCUCACCCGCCGCCGCUUCCCUGCUGCUACCCGCCCCCCGAUGCCCUCCACGGACACAACCACCAUGAUGGCGGAAGGAAGAGCAAGAGGGGUCGUCGAGGUUGGGUGCCUCCGUGAGGAUGUGGCCACAACUCCUUCACUUGGUACACAUGUCGUGUUACCACCUCCGACGGCCAUGCCAACGCAUGACUCCAAACCUCAUGAAUCAUGA
rnacentral:rRNA from 1 species